CCAGCGCCUUGCCGGGAAACAGGCGCGGGUCGCUGGCGUCGACCCGGUUGUUGGCGCCAUUCAGGUACAACCACGCUUCCGCUGCGUCGCGUCCGUCC
rnacentral:tRNA from 2 species